rnacentral:rRNA from 1 species
UACGUAGGGACCAAGCGUUGUUCGGAUUUACUGGGCGUAAAGGGCGCGUAGGCGGCAAUUCAAGUCAGCUGUGAAAUCUCCGGGCUUAACUCGGAACGGUCAGCUGAUACUGCUUUGCUAGAGUGCGGAAGGGGCAAUCGGAAUUCUCGGUGUAGCGGUGAAAUGCGUAGAUAUCGAGAGGAACACCUGAGGUGAAGACGGGUUGCUGGGCCGACACUGACACUGAGAGACGAAAGCUAGGGGAGCAAAUGGG